GUGCCGCUUACGUGGUAAUACCAAGCUGACCUGUCGCCUACAUGGUAAUACCGAGCUGAUGUGGCCCGUACUUGGAAAAACAAUAAACAAAAAAAUAAAAAAAAUCAUUAUGUUCCCUCCCCCUUCUCCAAGUCGGCCGGUGGACCGCUGCCAAAGGACCGCCGCUGCCUUCUUCCGGCGGAAUACCACCUCCGCCUUCCUCCUUCUCGCGUCGUUCCAGACCUCACGCCGCCUCCCACAAUCACUAGAUCAGUCGCCUUCCUCUUCCGCCGCAUCGAACCCCCUCUACCGCCCUCUCCCUCUCCACCCGACCUCGCGCCGCCUUUCAUCGCUCUGGCGAGAUUAAGGAAUGAGAGAUUUGGAAAACUAGGGCUCUGCAAAACUGAGGGCAGGGGCGGUCCGGUGGGCGGCUCUUCGCCGGAGUUUAGAGAGGAGAAGACGGGGGCUAGAAUUUGAGGUAAAACGACGUCGUUUUAUGCCCAACUAAACGACGUCAUUUUGAUUCCCGUCCGGCGGUGCCAUAUCAUUUUUCAGGUCACUCAAAAAUGCCAUGUCAGCACUCAAUUUGGGGAUUUUCAAAAAUCAUGGAAAAAUUGUUCAACCCCUUAAGUUCAGGGAAUUUUUUAUAAAAAAAAAAAGUUCAUGGCAAGUUUGGAAAUCCGACCAAAGAUCAUGGUUUUUGGUGUAAUUAAUCCUAUUUUUAAGUAUAACAAAAUUAAUUUAGCUAAAUUAAAUUUUAUACAUAGUAAAAUAUAAAUGUUUUACUAAAAAUAUAAUAAAUUUUGUGAGAUUUAUUCAUAUAUAUAUAUAUAUAACUAAAAUUUGCUACAUCUGAAGCUAGCUAUCAAAAAAUAUUUUUGUUGCACAUAAAUGUCACAAUAUAUUUUUGAUCUCUCUCCCCCCUCUCUCAAACACACACACACACAAUUCUUAUUAUAUUACUUUACUACUAAUAAAUUAAUUUCUACAAACACUAGUUAAAAAUAUGUUGUCCUACAAAAUAUAGCUACACUUUUUUAUAUAUCAUAAAUAGAAAAUAAUCUACAUCUUUACGUGUCAUAAGAUUAUGUAUGCCCUCAAAAGUCACUAAAUUUUGUGACAUGCAUGCUUUUAUUUUUGUGACACACAUAACACCUAAUCAUCUCAAGAUGUAACAAUAUUAAUGAUAUUUAUAAAUCUUACAAUUCUUCAAAAUUAUAUAGUUGUGUCAUGCACUGAGAACAUCAAACGAAACAACAUGUUCAAAUAAAUAAACAUAAAUUAUUAAAUAUAAUCAAAAAUAUAAGCAAAUGCAAAGUAUGCUUGAAAAAUAAACAAAAUAUACUCUAUAAAAAUCCGAAAUUGAAAACGUAAAUUUAUGAUUUUGCAUAAAUUGUAAUGGUAAUUGUAGUUAUUAAACAAUUGAAAAUUAUUUGAUAAUGAAAAUUGCAUUACACAACAUCAUCAUCAUCAUCAUAGAGUUUAUUACUUAAUAAAUAAAUAUUUUAAUACACAACCAUAACUAAAAACUCAUAUUUGAAAUUAUAGUUUUAAUACAUAUAAUUACUCAUUACAAAAGUUAUAUUAAAAUAAAUACAAAAAUAUCAUUUUUAAAAAAAGAGUUAUACAAUGAACCACUACAAAACAAACGCUAAUAGACAACGAUCAGAACACGUUGUCUAUUACAAAAUCAAUUGUUGUAAAUGAGAGUAUUGUCUAUUGAGGGGCGGUCAUAGACAACGGUCUAGCCGUUGUCUGUUCUCUCAUAGACAACGUCUUGGCGUUUGUUGUCUAUUCUGUGAUAGACAACAUGCGAAAACCCGUUGUCUAUUCUCUGAUAGACAACGCCUGAUCAUUCGUUGUCUAUUCCCUUAUAUACAGCAAGUUCUUGAUCGUUGUCUAUUCUAUAUUACAGUUUUUAUUUUGCAUUUUUAUUUAAAAUUUCCUGUUUUUUCAAUUUAUAUUUCAAUAAAUCUAAAAAUAUAAUAUGAAAAGCUAAAAAUACAUAAAUUAAUAAUAAAAUUCAUACAUUAUAAUCCAUCAUCAUCAUUCUACAUUACAAUACAAUCCAACAUCAUCAUCCCUACAUUACAUUAGAAUCGAAACAUCAUCAUCCUAGUCCUACAUUACAUUAGAAUCCAAACAUCAUCAUCCUACUAAUUGAAACAUAACUGCAAACACCGAAAACAAGCAAGUUACACCAUCUGCAAUAUUAGAAUAUUUCAAGUAUCAAUUUAUAAAAUUUAUUAACCUUAUAUCUCAAAAAUAUUAAAAAAUUAACUUUAUAUAAAACUUACCCAUCAUCACUCAUCUGUGAUUUUACAUACAAAUUCUGCCCACUCUAUCCUUACUUCAUCAAUUUCCUUUUUGGAGUAGCAUCCUCCUGCAAACUAUAAGAAAGACAAACUUGUGAUCAAAUAUGAAAUUAUAGAAAUUGUAUUGAAGUAAAAUUUAAUAAAAAUUAUAAAUUACAAUUACCAGUGUAGUUAUUGGGAGAGAGUGAUCAGAUACAAUAUUAUCAAUAACAUCUCGCAUGUAUCGCAUAACAUAGAAUUCAAAUACGAAUUCAAACUUCAUAGCAAUGAAAUUAUUGUGUAUAGAAAAUACCAUUAAUUAGCUAGACUUUUUUUUUUUGACAGAUAGCUAGACUUUUUGUUAAAAAGAUAUAUAUCCUCAUUUUAUUAUAAAAUCUCAUAUAUAAAAAUUACUCCAUAUUCUAUAAUGUGAAACAAAAGAUGAAAUGAAAAAUAUAGAGCAUAAAAGAGACAAGAAUUCGCAUUUAUACAGCUAUGUAUACACGAUUAAUUAUGCCGUUCUUGAUUUGCUGAUCGUUUAACUAAUUAUGUUAUUAUUUCACAAUAUGUAACAAUUUUAAGACACAGGUGAAUUAAACAACUUAACUCGGACGAAAGAUCUGUAUAACAGAGAGCAACAACACCAACUCACAUAUUGCAAAUCCCCAAUCCAAUGAUCUAAACAGAAUUUCUAAUUCAUCAUCAAAGGUGGUUUUUAGCCUCAAGAUUUGCGGGCCAAAGUGGGACAGUAGAAACUCCCCAAUCCUACAGUGAAGUAGUUCAAGUAAAAAAAAAGUGCACGUAGGUACAAGAACUUGUAGGAAAACAGAGCACUGGAUUUUCUUGAAUGCUGAGAAAGGCAAACAAAGAACUAAGAUUACAAGAUUAUAGUGACAAAGUAAACAAAACAAAUGUUAUUAUUACCUCUAGUUGUGCAACAGGGGCAGAAUCCUCGAAGAACUCGAGGCUCCAGUCAGCAAAGUAAUUAACCUGCAUUGCGUUAAGGAAAAUCUUUAAUAUUUUACAUGAGCAGAACCUCAAAAGAGUUCACAUCCAUUCAGAAAAUAGACAACUUUCACACAAGAUAUCAUUCAGUUCGAACAAUGAGGAAAAGGAAAUCAAAAUGUAUCGCAUAAUCCAGAUCUCACAUUCUAUUAGCCAAAUUUUAACUUCAUUCCUUGUUCAUAAACAAUGAGGAUCGAAAAAGGUAUCAGGAUACAUAGGAAACCAAAAAAAGAAAGAAUAAGAAAUUCAAUUACCUACUGAUUCUUCGAUGAGGCGUAAGAAGAGAUAUGGUCUGGUCUUGAAAGGAUAAUAAUGGCUGCCAAAUGUAGUUGUGGUGGUGAUUCUGACCGGCAGCUCCGGCUUGGAUAUGGCAGCUAACUGUUAGAUUNACAAUUUUUCUAUAUUUUUUGUCUCCGGUGAAGCUCCGAGCUGACGUGCCGCUUACGUGGUAAUACCAAGCUGACCUGUCGCCUACAUGGUAAUACCGAGCUGAUGUGGCCCGUAACUUGGAAAAACAAUAAACAAAAAAUAAAAAAAAAUCAUUAUGUUCCCUCCCCCUUCUCCAAGUCGGCCGGUGGACCGCUGCCAAAGGACCGCCGCUGCCCUUCUUCCGGCGGAAUACCACCUCCGCCUUCCUCCUUCUCGCGUCGUUCCAGACCUCACGCCGCCUCCCACAAUCACUAGAUCAGUCGCCUUCCUCUUCCGCCGCAUCGAACCCCCCUCUACCGCCCUCUCCCUCUCCACCCGACCUCGCGCCGCCUUUCAUCG
rnacentral:lncRNA from 1 species